rnacentral:rRNA from 1 species
CAGAGGGGGCAAGCGUUGUUCGGAAUUACUGGGCGUAAAGGGCGCGUAGGCGGCCUUCUAAGUCGAACGUGAAAUCCCCGGGCUCAACCCGGGAACUGCGUCCGAGACUGGAAGGCUCGAAUCCGGGAGAGGGAUGUGGAAUUCCAGGUGUAGCGGUGAAAUGCGUAGAUAUCUGGAGGAACAUCGGUGGCGAAGGCGGCAUCCUGGACCGGUAUUGACGCUGAGGCGCGAAAGCCAGGGGAGCAAACGGGAUUAGAUACCCCGGUAGUCCUGGCCCUAAACGAUGAAUGCUUGGUGUGGCGGGUAUCGAUCCCUGCCGUGCCGGAGCUAACGCAUUAAGCAUUCCGCCUGGGGAGUACGGUCGCAAGGCUG